UGAGGCUUUAUCUUGAAAAAACAAAACAAAACAGUGGAAUUGUUUUGUGAUGGAGGCAUGGGCAAGGGAGUUACCCCACACAAGUGGGCUGUGGAGGAGGGCUGAGCCUCAAGUGGGUCUCCUGUUCCCUGCGCUUUCCUGCACAGCAGCCUCCCCCACAAGCUCUGGGGCAGCUGCAGGAGCGGGUAGGCUGGGAGGGACUGCCAUAGUUGUUCGCUUGGGCAGGACAUCAGAGGACUCGGACACCAGCUUCCCAACCAUGGUCCUGGAGGAGCUGGUGCGGCUGAAGGAGCUGAAAUCCCUGCCAGAGUCAAGGCUGGGGCCCAGGCCGUAGCUGAGGCCAGGGCUUGUGAGGCCCCGGGAGGCCGAGCUCAGCUGUCUACUUAAGCAGCUGCGGCGCCAGGUCCUGCUUGGCCGGCGCCAGGUCCUGCUUGGCCUGCUACAGGGCAGCCUCCAGCUCCACCAGCUCCCCCAGCUCCCCACGCUGCUCAGCAUCCGCGAUGGCCUCUGAGGCCCUCAAUCUCAGCAUGGACCCCGCUGAUGUUGCAGAUCAUCUCAGAGUUCUCCAUCUUCCUGCGACGCAGGUCAUCCCCGUGCUUCCCAGCCAGUGUCUGCAACUCCUCAUCCUUGACCUGGUGCAGACUCUUAGCCUUGCCUGGCCGCAGUGGGCGAUCUCCUCGUACUGGGCGUUGACCUCCGCGAUGAUGCCAUCCACGUCCAGGGAGCGGCUGUUGUCCAUGGACAGCACCACAGACAUGUCCGAGAUCUGGGACUGCAGCUUCCAGAUCUCCUCUUCACACAGCUCUCUGGGGAAGUUGAUCUUGUCAGUCAGCCCUUCCAGUCUUCCAGCAGCCCCUGCGUGUUGCCAAGCUCUGCCUCCAGCUUCAGCUUCUCCUGGCCCAGUGUCCAGCUGCUGCCCAAGGCUGUGGAUGUGGCUCUCAUACACGCUGUCCAUGUUGCUCCCAGCUGUCUUCUGCUGCUGCAGGAUGCCCCACUUAGUCUCCAGCAUUUGUUCUGCUGCUCCAGGAACUGCACCUUGUCGAUGAAGGAGGCAAACUUGUUGAGGGUCUUGAUCUGCUCCUUCUCCUGGGUAUGCACAGCCUGGAUAUUGGGGUCCAGGUCCAGCUUAAGGGGGCUCAGCAGACUCUGGUUCACCAUGAUGGCUGUGUCGCCCACCCCCACCCCAUACCACUGCCCCACCAUAGCCACCACCCAGACUCAUGCUGGUGCCUAGGCCACUCCAGAAGCUGCUGCUGCUGCCCACUUGGGAGACGCUCAAGGAGCUGAUGUGGGCACCGGGACCGCUGGUGUAGGAGUGGCUGCUGAAAGCCCAGGGGCCAGAGAUGGAUGCCUUGUAGGGCUUCUGGGUCACCGUGAUGGACACGAUGGAGGCAGGAGUGGAGGUAGGCAGGCCGAACCAGAUGUAGAUUCAAGGAUGGAGAAGCUUCCUCUAGGUCAGCCCUUGUUUUCCAGAAGGGGGCGGUAAUCUCACCUUCCCAGAUUAGGCAGUUGUUUUUUUCUCUGUAUGUUCUGAUCUGGGAGAAGGCACUGUAUAUGGUCUCCUUGCUCACAAGUGGAAUCUUAUUUAUCUUGCUGUGGCCUUGGGAACUUGGCAACUAGAGUUGGGUCACAGCAUUGUGGGGAAACUUCCACUUUUGUGUCAUUAACACAACAGUGGUUGCAAAAGAUAGAAUCAUUAGUGCCCUGGAGAUCUAGAUACACGCCUUGACAGAAUCAUGAGUGCCCUAGAGAUCUAGAUACAUGCCUUGAUAGAAUCAUGAGUGCCCUGGAGAUCUAGACACAUGCCUUCCCAGGUCCAGGCAAUAGUGGUGGGGGAUUUCAGGUAGAAUCCAUCAAGUGCACGAGAGAAAGUUCCACCUAAUGGUCGGGGUCUGGGUACUUUGAGAUUGCUAUGGAUGGUGAAG
rnacentral:lncRNA from 1 species